rnacentral:misc_RNA from 1 species
GGACGGGUCAAGUAGAAGCUGAUGUGCUGGAUGGUCUUCGUCACCAAUAUUAUAAUCGGAAAAUUCUGGAAGAUCUUCCUUGUAUGCAAAACCUAGACACCUCAAUGCACUAGAUGACAUCUCACGCAAACAAUCUAAGAGGUAUCUCUUCGAGUCUGAGUCCAAAUUCACUAUAGUUCCAUCAAGAAGCUGAAUAAAUGAACUCCGAUCCAAAAGAUUUUCAACAGCACCCUUCACGAGUAAUGAUUUCUUCCCUGAGUUAGAAUUUGUGAUAACUCCCAUGGACUUGCGGUCUCGGUCAAACUCCAAAGUAGCAAUGCGUUGCUCAUUCUUAUUCCAAGUUUGGCAGCAUCGCAGGACAUCCCCAUUAACAGUAGCUGAACUUGAGUCAUAACCUUCAGGAAGCCCCAUCUUUUCCACAAGAACCUUCAAUGCUGCUUCAGUAGGCAUUCCAUUUGCAACAAAAUGAUGGCCAGAUCUUUCAACACCUGCAUCAUUACAGACUGCAGCAAU